rnacentral:piRNA from 1 species
UGCAGUACGGAGAGAGGGAUGCUGGUGA